GUUCUAUUACCUCCGUCCCAAAUUACCUGUCUUUGAUUUGUCUAGAUACGGAUGUAUCUAACACUAAAACGUGUCUGGAUACAUCCUUAUCUAGAAAAAUCCAAGACAAGUAAUUCGGGACGGAGGGAGUAUUAG
rnacentral:pre_miRNA from 1 species